GGAAGUCUGGUGCCAGCAGCCGCGGUAAUUCCAGCUCCAAUAGCGUAUAUUAAAGUUGUUGCAGUUAAAAAGCUCGUAGUUGAAUUUCGGGAUCAAUAUUUCGGUCAUGCCGUUGGUAUGCACUGUUAUCAUUGAUUUCUCACCUUCUAAAGAACCAUAAUGCCAUUAAUUUGGUGUUACGGGGAAUUAGGACUGUUACCUUGAAAAAAUUAGAGUGUUCAAAGCAGGCUCACGCUUGAAUACAUUAGCAUGGAAUAAUGAAAUAGGACAUCCGAUUCUAUUUUGUUGGUUCCUAGGAUCGAUGUAAUGAUUAAUAGGGAUAGUUGGGGGCAUUAGUAUUCAAUUGUCAGAGGUGAAAUUCUUGGAUUUAUUGAAGACUAACUACUGCGAAAGCAUUUGCCAAGGAUGUUUUCAUUAAUCAAGAACGAAAGUUAGGGGAUCGAAGACGAUCAGAUACCGUCGUAGUCUUAACCAUAAACUAUGCCGACUAGGGAUCGGAUGAUGUUAAUUUUUUAAUGACUCAUUCGGCGCCUUACGGGAAAC
rnacentral:rRNA from 1 species